GCGAAUGACGCACACCUGUCGGUGAAAGUUCGCAAAUCAAAAUUAUAUAUGUGCCAAAAUAUUGUUUUUUUGUUUGAAAGGUAUGGAGCAGUGAUGGAGUACGAUUAAUAAUGGAGCUGAGAACGUUCACACAGAUUGCGAAAUUUGAGGAUAUUGCCAUGAUGGCAGGUAGAUCUGAUGUGAGAGAAAAUCCCUGAUUUUACCGAAGUGAAUUCAAUGAUGUCAACUCGAACCCAACCCAACCGCACCGCUUACUGGAGUCAGCAGUUUUUCAGUAAUGGAGAAUCGAACUCAAGCCCCAAGUCACUUGCGCAGCAUUGGUUAUUGGAUUAUUUAGCAUUGGUUCAGAAGCGUGAACAUCUUACGAAUUGAGCUA